AAAAAAAUCUUAAAGGUCAGUCAAGCUUCAAACUCUUAGUACAGAAUAUUAACUGAGCUUCCAUUCUAUACAAUGGAUCUCCAUCUGCAUCGCCAAAGGACACAUCAAAAGUAAAUUAAAUUGCAGCUGAAAAGAGCAUCACAUAGACAAUAUGUAUUUGAUUAAUGGUUUAUAACCAAAUCCCAAGAAUAUUCAUGGGUACCUAGCAAGUUCACCUGGCUUAUAUCAUAAAGAAUGAUCAAGUUACUAUUCUGAAGUUCAGCUAAGCAUAAUCACAAACACGCAGGGUGAGAAGCUCAACCUAGCAACAUAUUU
rnacentral:misc_RNA from 1 species